GAUGAAUGCUGGCGGCGUGCCUAACACAUGCAAGUCGAGCGGCAGCGCGGGUAGUUUACUACCUGGCGGCGAGCGGCGGACGGCUGAGUAACGCGUGGGAACGUGCCCCAAAGUGAGGAAUAACUGCCCGAAAGGGUGGCUAAUGCCGCAUAUGAUCUUCGGAUUAAAGUCUUCGGACGCUUUGGGAGCGGCCCGCGUCGGAUUAGGUAGUUGGUGAGGUAAUGGCUCACCAAGCCCACGAUCCGUAGCUGGUCUGAGAGGAUGAUCAGCCAGACUGGAACUGAGACACGGUCCAGACUCCUACGGGAGGCAGCAGUGGGGAAUUUUGGACAAUGGGCGAAAGCCUGAUCCAGCAAUGCCGCGUGCAGGAUGAAGGCCUUCGGGUUGUAAACUGCUUUUGUACGGAACGAAAAGCUUCGGGCUAAUACCCUGGAGUCAUGACGGUACCGUAAGAAUAAGCACCGGC
rnacentral:rRNA from 1 species